rfam:Felis catus isolate Cinnamon breed Abyssinian chromosome A2, whole genome shotgun sequence.
GCCUGGGUGGCUCAGUCGGUUAAGCAUCUGACUUCCGCUCAGGUCAUGAUCUUGCGGUUCGUGAGUUCAAGCCCCACGUCAGGUU